UGCCUACGGGGGGCAGCAGUGGGGGAUAUUGCACAAUGGGGGAAACCCUGAUGCAGCGACGCCGCGUGAGUGAAGAAGUAUUUCGGUAUGUAAAGCUCUAUCAGCAGGGACGAAAAUGACGGUACCUGAGUAAGAAGCCCCGGCUAACUACGUGCCAGCAGCCGCGGUAAUACGUAGGGGGCAAGCGUUAUCCGGAUUUACUGGGUGUAAAGGGAGCGUAGACGGGUAUGCAAGUCUGGAGUGAAAGGCGGGGGCUCAACCCCCGGACUGCUCUGGAAACUGGAGAACUAGAGUGCAGGAGGGGG
rnacentral:rRNA from 1 species